AGUUCUGCUCUUUCACUUGAGUUCUCACUCAACAUAUCUAUAUAUCUCAACAUCCGAGAGAAGAACAUAAAAGCAUCAUCUUACAGAGGAUGCAAAAGUCUAGAGACUGUGUCUGGAGUUCUCCAUCUUCUACUUGGCCAACCUUUGAAGUUAACCAGAUUGUUUUGUCUAAUUUUGUUUAUUUUGAUGAAAGAUGGAUGUAUAGAAGUAUAUAGGAUGUAGAUUAAAAUCGGUGAUGUGUGUGUGUAGAGAGAAAGUAAACACACAAAAAUGCAACGAAGUGUAGAGAGAGAGAGAGAGAGAAAGAAGUGUAGAGAGAGAGAGAGGAGUGGUAGAGUGCAACGAAGAACGUAAACACACAAAAAUGACUAACAAUAUCUACACAUGGAACACAAAAUUAAACGCCAACUUAAUCGUGAAAGACUAAACGAUCGCUAGGUGAAAUACAUAAAAGUCGACUAACGCUAACUUAACCGCCAAAGACAAAUUGCUAUACAAACACACAAAAAUGAGUAUUGCCGUGGAACAUCCACAUAAGACGAAGCGAAGCAAAACAAAAAUGACUAAACAUAUCGCUACACAAAACACACAAAAAUGAUUGGCGGCCUGACUCUGGCAUUAGUCGGAAGGCGUUCCAAACUCG